GCGGAGGAAAAGAAACCAACAGGGAUUGCCUCAGUAACGGCGAGUGAAGCGGCAACAGCUCAAAUUUGAAAUCUGGCUCCUUCGGGGCCCGAGUUGUAAUUUGCAGAGGAUGCUUCGGGUACGGGUUCCUUCCGAGUUCCCUGGAACGGGACGCCAUAGAGGGUGAGAGCCCCGUCUGGUAGGACACCCAGCCCGUGUGAAGCUCCCUCGACGAGUCGAGUAGUUUGGGAAUGCUGCUCUAACGGGAGGUAUACUCCUUCCAAGGCUAAAUACCGGCUGGAGACCGAUAGCGCACAAGUAGAGUGAUCGAAAGAUGAAAAGCACUUUGAAAAGAGAGUCAAAUAGCACGUGAAAUUGUUGAAAGGGAAGCGCUCGCUACCAGACAUGGGUUCGGCGGUUCAACCGGGGCCACGCCCCGGGGCACUCCGCCGGCCCAGGCCAGCAUCAGCUUUCCGUCGGGGGCAAAGACGUCGGGAAUGUGGCUCCCCUCCGGGGGAGUGUUAUAGCCCGGCGUGUCAUACCCUUCGGGGGGCUGAGGUACGCGCUUCUGCAAGGAUGCUGGCGUAAUGGUAGCUAGUGACCCGUCUUGAAACACGGACCAAGGAGUCAACCUUAUGUGCGAGUGCCCGGGCGUAAAACCCCAGCGCGGAAUGAAAGUGAACGUAGGUGAGAGCUUCGGCGCAUCACCGACCGAUCCUGAUGUCCUCGGACUGAUUUGAGUGAGAGCAUAUAGGGUUGGACCCGAAAGAAGAUGAACUAUGCGUGUGUAGGGUGAAUCCAGAGGAAACUCUGGUGGAGGCUCGCAGCGGUUCUGACGUGCAAAUCGA
rnacentral:misc_RNA from 1 species